GUUCUGAUAGCUUAACAUUAAAGCAUUGGUCUUGUAAACCAAAGAUUGUAGAAUAACAUCUACUCAGGACU
rnacentral:tRNA from 1 species